rnacentral:rRNA from 1 species
GAUGAACGCUGGCGGCGUGCCUAAUACAUGCAAGUCGAACGAGGCCCCACCUUCGGGUGGGAUGUCCUAGUGGCGAACGGGUGAGUAUCACGUUGGUGACCUACCCCGAAGAGAGGGACAACCCCGGGAAACUGGGGCUAAUACCUCAUGUGCUCUCGAGAGUUAGAGGUCUUGAGAGGAAAGGGAGCAAUCCGCUUCGGGAGGGGCCUGCGGCCUAUCAGCUAGUUGGUGAGGUAAUGGCUCACCAAGGCGACGACGGGUAGGGGACCUGAGAGGGUGAUCCCCCACACUGGAACUGAAACACGGACCAGACACCUACGGGUGGCAGCAGUAGGGAAUAUUGCACAAUGGGCGAAAGCCUGAUGCAGCAACGCCGCGUGCGCGAUGAAGGCCGUUCGGGUUAGUAAAGCGUCUUUUCUGGGGGACGAGAAAGGACGGUACCCCAGGAAUAAGUCUCGGCUAACUACGUG